rnacentral:rRNA from 1 species
GACGAACGCUGGCGGCGUGCUUAACACAUGCAAGUCGAACGCUGAGGCUUGGUGCUUGCACUGGGUGGAUGAGUGGCGAACGGGUGAGUAAUACGUGAGUAACCUGCCCUUGACUCUGGGAUAAGCCUGGGAAACUGGGUCUAAUACUGGAUACGACAUGUCACCGCAUGGUGGUGUGUGGAAAGGGUUUUACUGGUUUUGGAUGGGCUCACGGCCUAUCAGCUUGUUGGUGGGGUAAUGGCUCACCAAGGCGACGACGGGUAGCCGGCCUGAGAGGGUGACCGGCCACACUGGGACUGAGACACGGCCCAGACUCCUACGGGAGGCAGCAGUGGGGAAUAUUGCACAAUGGGCGGAAGCCUGAUGCAGCGACGCCGCGUGAGGGAUGACGGCCUUCGGGUUGUAAACCUCUUUCAGCACGGAAGAAGCGAAAGUGACGGUACGUGCAGAAGAAGCGCCGGCUAACUACGUG